CCUACGGGAGGCAGCAGUAAGGAAUAUUGGUCAAUGGGCGCAAGCCUGAACCAGCCAUGCCGCGUGAAGGAUGACGGCCCUAUGGGUUGUAAACUUCUUUUGUACGGGAAAAAACCUCUGGUCGUGUACCAGAGCUGAUGGUACCGUAAGAAUAAGCAUCGGCUAACUCCGUGCCAGCAGCCGCGGUAAUACGGAGGAUGCAAGCGUUAUCCGGAUUCAUUGGGUUUAAAGGGUGCGCAGGCGGAGUGUUAAGUCAGUGGUGAAAUCCUACAGCUCAACUGUAGAACUGCCAUUGAUACUGACAUUCUUGAGUAUUGUUGAGGUAGGCGGGAUGUGUCAUGUAGCGGUGAAAUGCUUAGAUAUGACACAGAACACCGACCGCGAAGGCAGCUUACCAAGCAAUAACUGACGCUCAUGCACGAAAGCGUGGGGAUCAAACAGGAUUAGAUACCCUGGUAGUCCACGCCGUAAACGAUGAUCACUCGAUGUUGGCGAUACACAGUCAGCGUCUUAGGGAAACUAUUAAGUGAUCCACCUGGGGAGUACGGUCGCAAGAUUGAAACUCAAAGGAAUUGACGG
rnacentral:rRNA from 1 species